GAUGUGUAUAUUUUACAUAAUGUUUAUUAUUAGUUUUAUACGUCAGAGAAGGAUACAAAAAGACGUGCUAAGUUAAAAAAAAAAAUACAUUAUAUUGUAAAUCUCCUUGAACCGGAAAUAGCCUCUGUCUGCUUCCCUCUUCUACGCUCCUCAACGAGAUGCGAGCAGGCGAAUGAGAUAGCCAGCUCUUAAGUAAAUUACCACUUUUAUUUAAAAGACAAAUUCAAAGACACUUAAAUUUUGUAAUAACUUAAUACCCGCUAGAACCUUAGCUGGUCUCGGCUUCUUGUUGGAAACCUUCGGCAGCCUUUGCGACAGGCAUGUAAAGAAACAAGACGCACAAUCAUAUAUUCCAUAACACAGGGUUGUUGUUGCUCACCUCGGGCCAUGGUUCCAGCUGUUCUGAAGCUCUACUUCCUCGGGACCAUUAUGACCAUCUUCGCCUUCAUCUUCAGCCUGGCUGACUCGUUUGGUGGCCUGAUGUAUGUCCAGGACCGCCGCUGGAUGCUGGAGACAGAAAGAGGCCCUCCGCUAAAGCAUCAUGCAGGGGCCUCUGUGACCUUUCACGUGGACUGAUGAGACAGGGCCAAAAAUGUCUGACGGAUGCACUUCGUGGAACUGUGGCAGCUUUAAAAAUGUGACAGGAAUGCACUAUUGCUGAGCCAAAGACAGAAUUGUACUGUAAUGUAGAUGAUAAAGUGGCUGCAAGCAGCACGGGGGAAUGAUUUCAGGAUAAAUCUUUUGGUGUGUCUCAUAAUUUAAAAAAACAAUCCUAACUAAUGCAAACUGAAAUGGCUGGCAACCCUGCCAAGGGUUUACUUGUGUGUGUAGCUUUAAAAUGUACGCCUGUGAUGAUCUACAUUGUCAGUUUGUCGCAUAACAAAGUGAACAGUAUAAACUUGUGAAAUCUGAAUAAACCGGCAUCACGAACAAAACAAGUGAUUUCAUUCUCAAA